rnacentral:rRNA from 1 species
UACGAAGGGGCUAGCGUUGCUCGGAAUGACUGGGCGUAAAGGGCGCGUAGGCGGUUUGUACAGUCAGGUGUGAAAUUCCCGGGCUCAACCUGGGGGCUGCACUUGAUACGUAUGGACUGGAGUGGGGAAGAGGGUCGUGGAAUUCCCAGUGUAGAGGUGAAAUUCGUAGAUAUUGGGAAGAACACCGGUGGCGAAGGCGGCGACCUGGUCCGAUACUGACGCUGAGGCGCGAAAGCGUGGGGGAGCAAACAGG